AUAAAAGGUACGCCGGGGAUAACAGGCUGAUACUGCCCAAGAGUCCAUAUCGACGGCAGUGUUUGGCACCUCGAUGUCGGCUCAUCUCAUCCUGGGGCUGAAGCCGGUCCCAAGGGUAUGGCUGUUCGCCAUUUAAAGUGGUACGCGAGCUGGGUUUAGAACGUCGUGAGACAGUUCGGUCCCUAUCUGCCGUGGGCGUUGGAGAUUUGAGGAAAGCUGCUUCUAGUACGAGAGGACCGAAGUGGACGAACCUCUGGUGUUCGGGUUGUGAUGCCAAUCGCAUUGCCCGGUAGCUAUGUUCGGACGGGAUAACCGCUGAAAGCAUCUAAGCGGGAAGCCUCUUCCAAGAUAAGAUCUCCCUGGGAACUUGAUUCCCCUAAAGAGCCGUUCAAGACCAGGACGUUGAUAGGCAGGGUGUGUAAGCGUUGUGAGG
rnacentral:rRNA from 15 species